CUCUUCUGUCUUCUAAUAUAUUUCGGUUCUGCAGAUGGAAAGCAACAGAUGAGUCCAUUUGCUAAUUCAAAGACUGCUACAUAUUUAGCCUGGCAAAACAUGCACAACAAGUGUAGAAGAUUUCAUUACAUUUUAAACAAGAUUUUUUUACUUGUGCUCUUUCACUUCUGUCAAUCAAUCCGUGGGAUUCAUAUGCGAUUAAAUCCAUGUCUCUAGAACAUUCUAAUUGCCCAGCCAGUGCUGUUCAAGCCUUAACUCAUGCAAUGAGUCGGCGCAUGUCUCCUGCUUCAUCAGAAUCAUGGUGUAGACGAGUAGUGGUCAUGGUCAACAUGUCAAUUCCAGCAUGUGGAUCUCAUGCCGAAAGAGAUAUGAAAAUUCCAGCAGUGAGACUUUGAUAUAGCGUACGCCAUAGCUCAAAAUCAUCUUUAUCGCAAAUGUUGCCUAAUUUCUGAAUUUUGUCAGCAUGAGGCGAAAACAUUAACCAAUCCAUCUCUUUCCCUCUCACUUUCUCUUUACUCUCUCUAUUUCUGUAAGUGCUUUAAGAUGUUUAUUAGGUACCUUUCUUUGAUCCAACAACCAUGACUUCCUCUGAUAAUUUUAUUUCACUGUUGUAAAUAAAUUUCAAAUGGAUUGUUCAAUUGGACCAGUUACUAAAUCAUUUAAUUAAACCCAACAAGAAUGACAA